AGAGUUUGAUCAUGGCUCAGGACGAACGCUGGCGGCAUGCUUAACACAUGCAAGUCGAACGGAGCACCCUUGACAGAGACUUCGGUCAAUAGAUAGGAAUGCUUAGUGGCGGACGGGUGAGUAACGCGUGAGCAACCUGCCUUAGAGUGGGGGACAACAGUUGGAAACGACUGCUAAUACCGCAUGAAGCAUCGAGAGGGCAUCCUGUUGAUGUUAAAGAUUUAUCGGUGAUGGAUGGGGAUGCGUCUGAUUAGCUUGUUGGCGGGGUAACGGCCCACCAAGGCAACGAUCAGUAGGGGUUCUGAGAGGAAGGUCCCCCACAUUGGAACUGAGACACGGUCCAAACUCCUACGGGAGGCAGCA
rnacentral:rRNA from 1 species